UUGAAAAGCCGGUUCUCGACUGAUCACCGAAAUUAAGCAACGUCGAGCCUGGUCGCUAAUUAGAUGGGUGAACGCUUGGGAAUAUCAGGUGCUGGA